CUGCAUCUCUCCUAGACACAUUUAAGAGCUGAUUGCUAGUGGGAAAGGAUCUUUUCUGGAGAUCCCUCCUCUGGAGUUUUGCAGCAAGCCCAGGAUGUGGGAGCAGAAGGGCUGAAUGUGAUGGUGAAGAUCCUCCUCUGGCUUCUUGCUCUAUCUGGACAGAAGGACAUUCACGCUUCACUCUCAUCCUAGAAACAAGCCUUGCUUCUCUGUAGGAAGGAAAAUGAAUGACAUUGGGUUUCAUAAAUAACCAGUGAAGCUAUGAAAGCUCAACAAGGAGCUGAAGUGAAGAGCUGUUGCAG